rnacentral:misc_RNA from 1 species
GGAAAAAACAGUGCGAGUACAAAAGCUACAACACACAAAGUUGCUUUUCAGAAUCCUGACACAGUCUAAUCAAGGCAUGGUCAAUUUCACAUCCUUCUUGCCUCUCAAAGCAACAUAGUCAUUGAAAUGAAGUCAAAACCUAGAAAAACAUAAUGAAUCCAAUACUAAACAUCAAAAUGGAGACAUUUCACACUAUGAAAGAAAGGAAUAAAAAUGUGAGCCUAGGAAUAAUGCUAGAAUUCAAAUUUGACGAGUAACGGUGGCAUGCCAAAAAAGCAAAAUACACAUCUUAAGUUUCAUCAUAGUAUGGAAGUUCAAAAUUCUGAAAAUGGAGUUUUUGGUAAGAAAUACACAACUUAAUGAAAGAAAAAUACUUAAUUAAACAACAAAACUUUAAGAAAAUGUUUUGGAAUAUGUUUACUUCAAUGAGAUCACAUGAAAUGUUAAAAUAUCUGACAUAUUUCUGAAAUCAUAAUGGGAAAACAAAAUAACAUAGAACAAAGAAGCAACAUAGAGAAGCAGCACGCAUCCUAAGAACUCAGAUUAAUUAGCUGGAAUGUCGGCCAUAUGCAAGCAAAAGUUUCAAAUGAUGAACAAAGUUCUAUAUCUGUGACGUUUCUGUGUGCAUUAUGGGCAAUAGGCUGUCAACAGCUACCACUCAACAAUGUAAAUCAAUAGGGAGGAGAGGAAGAUCCAGCAGCAUGUAAAACAAGAUAUAGUAAGUUUUAUAGUGCCUCGAAGCUGAUUUAUCACAAGCGGAAGUGUUGCCCCUCUAAUCAAA